rnacentral:rRNA from 1 species
GAUGAACGCUGGCGGCGUGCUUAACACAUGCAAGUCGAACGAAGCAUUUGCGACAGAUUUUUUCGGAAUGAAGUUGCUUAUGACUGAGUGGCGGACGGGUGAGUAACGCGUGGGUAACCUGCCUUGUACUGGGGGAUAGCAGCUGGAAACGGCUGGUAAUACCGCAUAAGCGCACAAGGUUGCAUGACAUGGUGGGAAAAACUCCGGUGGUAUAAGAUGGACCCGCGUCUGAUUAGCUAGUUGGUGAGAUAACAGCCCACCAAGGCGACGAUCAGUAGCCGACCUGAGAGGGUGCCCGGCCACAUUGGGACUGAGACACGGCCCAGACUCCUACGGGAGGCAGCAGUGGGGAAUAUUGCACACUGGAGGAAACUCUGAUGCAGCGACGCCGCGUGAGUGAAGAAGUAAUUCGUUAUGUAAAGCCCUAUCAGCAGGGAAGUUAGUGACGGUACCUGACUAAGAAGCUCCGGCUAAAUACGUG